CAGCCGUAAACUAUGCGCGUUAGGUGUAUCGGUGACCACGAGUUACCGAGGUGCCGAAGGGAAACCGUGAAACGUGCCGCCUGGGAAGUACGGUCGCAAGGCUGAAACUUAAAGGAAUUGGCGGGGGAGCACCACAACAGGUGGAGCCUGCGGUUUAAUCGGACUCAACGCCGGGAAGCUCACCGGAUAAGACAGCAGAAUGAUUGCCGGGCUGAAGACUCUGCAUGACUAGCUGAGAGGUGGUGCAUGGCGUCAGUGACU
rnacentral:rRNA from 1 species